rnacentral:lncRNA from 1 species
AGAAUGCCAACUUUGAUUCUUCAAGGAAAAUCAGCAGCUGACCACACACCACCCUUCCUGGUCCUCCCCGAGAUGCCAAGAACAUCCAAAGUCUGCAGUUUUGAGAUGUUACCCUUCGGAUGCAUACCUCAAUCUGCCUGAAAAUCAUGGAAUUCUGGAGAUGGAAGGGACCUCAGAGAUUUUCUGGUUCUCUCUGUUCUGGUUGUAAGUGUUCUUACCACACACCACUCCCAACCAUGGGGAGCCUUUCCACCACUGAAGAGAGCUGGGGUUACUAAAGCCACAAUCAGCUUCUCUGCAACUUCUAACCAUUUGGCUAAGAUCAGUUUUUCUGAAACCACAAAGAAAAAAAAUCUACGAACAAGUACUAGCGUACCAAUGUUCACAGUAGCAUUAUUCACAAGUCAUAAGGUGGAAGCAACCCAAAUGUCCAUCAACAGAUGAAUAGGUAAACAACAUGCGGAAUAUACAUCCAAUGGAAUCCUCUUCAGCCUCAACAAGGAAGGAAAUUCCAGUGCAUGCUAUAACAUAGAUGGACCUCAAGGACACUGUGCUAAGUUAAUUAAGCUAGACACAAAAGGACAAAUGCUGUAUGACUCCACUUGUAUGAGGUCUCUUGAGUAGUCAGAAAGCAGAAUGGUGGCUGCCAGGAGCUGGGGGGGGGGGCAGGAAGAAUGGGGAGUUAUUGUUUAAUGGGAACAGAGUUUCUGUUUGGGAUGAUGAUAAAGUUCUAGAAAUUGAUAGCUGUGAUGGUCACACAACAUUGUGAAUAUAAUUAAUGCCACAGGACUGUAUAUUUAAAAAUGAUUAAAAUGGCAGAUUUUAUGUUAUGAU